UACGUAGGAGGCGAGCGUUGUCCGGAUUUACUGGGCGUAAAGAGCGCGUAGGCGGCUUCUUGAGUCUUGCGUGAAAUCUCCCGGCUCAACUGGGAGGGGGCGCGGGAUACUGGGGGGCUGGAGGGCAUCAGAGGGAAGCGGAACUCCCGGUGUAGUGGUGAAAUGCGUAGAUAUCGGGAAGAACACCCGUGGCGAAGGCGGCUUCCUGGGGUGUACCUGACGCUGAGGCGCGAAAGCGUGGGGAGCGAACCGG
rnacentral:rRNA from 1 species